rnacentral:rRNA from 1 species
AACGAACGCUGGCGGCGUGCUUAACACAUGCAAGUCGAACGGGAUUGGAAGCUUGCUUCCAUGAGAGUGGCGCACGGGUGAGUAACGCGUGGAUAACCUGCCCUGGUAUCUGGAAUAACAUCUCGAAAGGGGUGCUAAUACCGGAUAAGCUCACGACUCCUUCGGGAGAUGCGAGAAAAGGUGGCCUCUGAAUAUGCUACCGUAUCAGGAUGGGUCCGCGUACCAUUAGCUAGUUGGUGGGGUAAUGGCCUACCAAGGCUACGAUGGUUAGCUGGUCUGAGAGGAUGAUCAGGCACACUGGAACUGAGACACGGUCCAGACUCCUACGGGAGGCAGCAGUGGGGAAUUUUGCGCAAUGGGGGAAACCCUGACGCAGCAACGCCGCGUGAGUGAUGAAGGCCUUCGGGUCGUAAAGCUCUGUCAGAGGGGAAGAAGUGUAGUGGUGCUAAUACCAUCACUUCUUGACGGUACCUUACGAGAAAGCCACGGCUAACUACGUGCCAGCCGCCGCCGUAAGAC